CAGCAGCCGCGGUAAUACGGAGGGGGCUAGCGUUGUUCGGAAUUACUGGGCGUAAAGCGUACGUAGACGGCUUUGUAAGUUAGAGGUGAAAGCCCGGGGCUCAACCCCGGAAUUGCAUCCGAUACUGCCACGCUAGAGGAUUGGAGAGGUAGCUGGAAUUCUUGGUGUAGCAGUGAAAUGCGUGGAGAUCAAGAGGAACACUCGUGGCGAAAGCGAGCUACUGGACAAUAACUGACGCUGAGGCUCGAAGGCCAGGGUAGCGAAAGGGAUUAGAGACCCCCGUAGUCCCUGUCUCUUAUAC
rnacentral:rRNA from 1 species